rnacentral:rRNA from 1 species
AUACGUAGGGGGCAAGCGUUAUCCGGAUUUACUGGGUGUAAAGGGAGCGUAGACGGAAUGGCAAGUCUGAUGUGAAAGGCCGGGGCUCAACCCCGGGACUGCAUUGGAAACUGUCAGGCUAGAGUGCAGGAGGGGUAAGCGGAAUUCCUAGUGUAGCGGUGAAAUGCGUAGAUAUUAGGAGGAACACCGGUGGCGAAGGCGGCUUCCCGGACUGCACCUGACGUUGAGGUCUCAAAGCGUGGGGAGAAACCAGGAAUUGUUCCCCUAGGAGUCCACGCCGUAAACGAUGAAUACUAGGUGUUGGGUUCCAAUAGGGAUUCGGUGCCGCAGCUAACGCAAUAAGUAUUCCACCUGGGGAGUACGUUCGCAAGAAUGAAACUCAAAUGAAUUGACGUGG